rnacentral:rRNA from 1 species
CAGUCGCCACGGGAACACGGAGGGUGCAAGCGUUAAUCGGAAUUACUGGGCGUAAAGCGUGCGUAGGCGGUUCGUUAAGUCUGUUGUGAAAGCCCCGGGCUCAACCUGGGAAUGGCAAUGGAUACUGGCGAGCUAGAGUGUGUCAGAGGAUGGUGGAAUUCCCGGUGUAGCGGUGAAAUGCGUAGAGAUCGGGAGGAACAUCAGUGGCGAAGGCGGCCAUCUGGGACAACACUGACGCUGAGGCGCGAAAGCGUGGGGAGCAAACAGGAUUAGAUACCCCGGUAGUCCCUGUCUCUUAUAC